rnacentral:lncRNA from 1 species
CUGCACAUCGGACUCUGUAUCGGUACCCCCUGUAUAUAGUCUCCACAUUGACUCUGUAUCGGUACCCCCUGUAUAUAGUCUCCACAUUGACUCUGUACCGGUACCCCCUGUAUAUAGUCUCCACAUUGACUCUGUAUCGGUACCCCCUGUAUAUAGUCUCCACAUUGACUCUGUAUCGGUACCCCCUGUAUAUAGUCUCCACAUUGACUCUGUAUCGGUACCCCCUGUAUAUAGUCUCCACAUUGACUCUGUACCGGUACCCCCUGUAUAUAGCCUCCACAUUGACUCUGUACCGGUACCCCCUGUAUAUAGUCUCCUCAUUGACUCUGUACCGGUACCCCCUGUAUAUAGUCUCCACAUUGACUCUGUAUCGGUACCCCCUGUAUAUAGUCUGCACAUCGGACUCUGUAUCGGUACCCCCUGUAUAUAGUCUCCACAUUGACUCUGUAUCGGUACCCCCUGUAUAUAGUCUCCACAUUGACUCUGUAUCGGUACCCCCUGUAUAUAGUCUCCACAUUGACUCUGUAUCGGUACCCCCUGUAUAUAGUCUCCACAUUGACUCAGUAUCGGUACCCCCUGUAUAUAGUCUCCACAUUGACUCUGUAUCGGUACCCCCUGUAUAUAGUCUCCACCUUGACUCUGUAUCGGUACCCCCUGUAUAUAGUCUCCACAUCGGACUCUGUAUCGGUACCCCCUGUAUAUAGCGGCGCUAUUGUUAUUUACAGCUGCUCUUUAAUGUGUUAUUCUUACUGCAUUGUUGGUUAAGGCCUUGUAAGUAAGCAUUUCACUGUAAGGUUGUGUUCGGCGCAUGUGACAAAUACAAUUUGAUUUGAUUUAUAAAGUGACGCAGAAGGGCAAGCUGUUCUAUGAGUGGUCAGAGCAGGCGUUAGAUUACAAGCUUUUCUACGAGUGGUCAGAGCAGGCGUUAGAUUACAAGCUGUUCUACGAGUGGUCAGAGCAGGCGUUAGAUUACAAGCUGUUCUACGAGUGGUCAGAGCAGGCGUUAGAUUACAAGCUGUUCUACGAGUGGUCAGAUGCAGGCGUUAGAUUACAAGCUGUUCUACGAGUGGUCAGAUGCAGGCGUUAGAUUACAAGCUUUUCUACGAGUGGUCAGAGCAGGCGUUAGAUUAUAAGCUGUUCUACGAGUGGUCAGAGCAGGCCUUAGAUUACAAGCUGUUCUACGAGUGGUCAGAGCAGGCGUUAGAUUACAAGCUUUUCUACGAGUGGUCAGAGCAGGCGUUAGAUUACAAGCUGUUCUACGAGUGGUCAGAUGCAGGCGUUAGAUUACAAGCUUUUUUAUGUGCAAAGUUAAUAACGAUGGCUUUAGGAAACAGCUUGGAGAUUUAACGAUGAAUUUAGCCUUAAGAUGCAUUUGGGAAACUAUGCCCUGUGCUACAUUUAGGUCAGGGAUGUGCCCUUACCCUUACCCAGGUCCUGCUUCCUGUCCGCCCAAUCUGAACCCUACCUUCCCAUCUACUUCCUUGCUCAACUCUAAUCCUAGUUUCAGAUUUACUUCCUGACUCAAUCCUAACCCUAGCUCAUUCUUACAUAGGACACUGAGGGUGAAUUGUAAUUAUGGAUCCCCAUUCGUUCCUGCCUAGGCAGCAGCUACUCUUUAUGGGGUCAAGCAACAUUAUAGCAGUUAUAUACAAUUUUAAUGUUUAUUAAUAUGACAUUACAUUUUAUAAUACUUUUCACAACACAUUAAGUGUGUUCCCUCGGGCCAGUAUUCUACUAUCACAUAUCUACAAUACAAACUAUGUACAUGUGUGUGUAGAGUCCAUGUCUUAUCAUGUGUGUGUGUGUGUGUGUGUGUGUGUUGUCUCUUCACAGUCCCCGCUGUUCCAUAAGGUGUAUUUUUAUCUUUAUUCAUGUUUUACCGUGUCAAGUGAUGAUGAUACCAGACAGCUGCGUCUAGGUUUUUUUAUUUAUUUUUUAUUUAACCUUAAUUUAACUAGGCAAGUCAGUUAAGAACAAAUUCUUAUUUACAAUGACGGCCUACCAAAAGGCAAAAGACCUCCUGCGGGAACGGGGGCUGGGAUUAUAAAAUAUAUAUAAAUAAAUAUAGGACAAAACACA